rfam:Corchorus capsularis cultivar CVL-1 contig09157, whole genome shotgun sequence.
GUAAUGUUUCUUGCUCAAAUGAGUAUUCCAAUCACAGUUGCAUUUGGAUGUAUAUCAGUUCAAUAUAUAUGUAUUGGGCUGAUGAUGCUUCUGUUUCUGAGAUGCUCAUUUGAGCAAGCAAUGUUAU